rnacentral:rRNA from 1 species
AAUAGAUACCCGGGUAGUCCACGCCGUAAACGAUGAGUGCUAAGUGUUAGAGGGUUUCCGCCCGUUUAGUGCUGCAGCUAACGCAUUAAGCACUCCGCCUGGGGAGUACGGCCGCAAGGCUGAAACUCAAAGGAAUUGACGGGGGCCCGCACAAGCGGUGGAGCAUGUGGUUUAAUUCGAAGCAACGCGAAGAACCUUACCAGGUCUUGACAUCCUCUGCCAACCCUAGAGAUAGGGCGUUCCCCUUCGGGGGGCAGAGUGACAGGUGGUGCAUGGUUGUCGUCAGCUCGUGUCGUGAGAUGUUGGGUUAAGUCCCGCAACGAGCGCAACCCUUGAUCUUAGUUGCCAGCAUUCAGUUGGGCACUCUAAGGUGACUGCCGGUGACAAACCGGAGGAAGGUGGGGAUGACGUCAAAUCAUCAUGCCCCUUAUGACCUGGGCUACACACGUGCUACAAUGGAUGGUACAAAGAGCUGCGAACCCGCGAGGGUAAGCCAAUCUCAUAAAGCCAUUCUCAGUUCGGAUUGUAGG